GGAGAGUGGCUUAUUUUGACUCAACGCGGAAAAGCUUAUCUGGUCCGGACGCAGUGAGGAUUGACAGACAGUUUCAGGAGUGGUUCUUGGUAAACAAUUGAGAGAGUUGAAGUUCUUUCAUGAUCUUGUGAGAGGUGGUGCAUGGCCGUUCUUAGUUCGUGUAGUGAUAUGUCUGCCUAAUCGCGUCACGAUAACCUAUUGGUCGACAACCCAAUUAUCACAACUGCAGCAUAACUCCCCUUGGGUGGGCGAGGCUCUGUGUAGGAUAGACCUCUGAACAGUACGCAACGAACGCGAUCGUAAUCCCUUGUUGAGUGGCCAUCCUGUAAGCUGCUGGAUUAGGAACCCAGUGGUAUUAUCUCAGCCACAGAUUUUCUGGUUGUAAUGGGCCAGUUUUGAAACUCGGGGAACAUCUGUGACUUUCUUUCUUAACGCAGAGGAAGGUUAUGGCAAUAACAGGUCUGUGAUG
rnacentral:rRNA from 1 species